GAUGAACGCUGGCGGCGUGCCUAACACAUGCAAGUCGAACGGAGAUUACGGACGGAAGUUUUCGGAUGGAAGACUGUAAUUCUUAGUGGCGGACGGGUGAGUAACGCGUGGGCAACCUGCCCUAUACAGGGGGAUAGCAGCUGGAAACGGCUGGUAAGACCGCAUAAGUCGGCGAGACCGCAUGGUUUUGCCGGGAAAUGAGCAAUCAGGUAUAGGAUGGGCCCGCGUCCGAUUAGCCAGUUGGCAGGGUAAAAGCCUACCAAAGCAACGAUCGGUAGCCGGACUGAGAGGUCGGACGGCCACAUUGGGACUGAGACACGGCCCAAACUCCUACGGGAGGGAGCAGUGGGGGAUAUUGCACAAUGGAGGAAACUCUGAUGCAGCGACGCCGCGUGAGUGAAGAAGUAUUUCGGUAUGUAAAGCUCUAUCAGCAGGGAAGAUGAUGACGGUACCUGACUAAGAAGCCCCGGCUAACUACGUG
rnacentral:rRNA from 1 species